GUGUCUUGGCUAAGGUGUCUUGGCUAAGGUGUCUUGGCUAAGGUGUCUUGGCUAAUGUGUCUCGGCUAAGGUGUCUUGGCUAAGGUGUCUCGGCUAAGGUGUCUUGGCUAAUGUGUCUCGGCUAAAGUGUCUUGGCUAAGGUGUCUUGGCUAAGGUGUCUUGGCUAAUGUGUCUCGGCUAAAGUGUCUCGGCUAAGGUGUCUUGGCUAUUGUGUCUUGGCUAAGGUGUCUUGGCUAAGGUGUCUUGGCUAAGGUGUCUUGGCUAAGGUGUCUUGGCUAAGGUGUCUUGGCUAGGGUGUCUUGGCUAAGGUGUCUUGGCUAAGGUGUCUUGGCUAAUGUGUCUCGGCUAAUGUGUCUUGGCUGAUGUGUCUUGGCUAAUGUGUCUUGGCUAAUGUGUCUUGGCUAAGGUGUCUUGGCUAAUGUGUCUUGGCUAAGGUGUCUUGGCUAAGGUGUCUUGGCUAAGGUGUCUUGGCUAAGGUGUCUUGGCUAGGGUGUCUUGGCUAAGGUGUCUUGGCUAAGGUGUCUUGGCUAAUGUGUCUCGGCUAAAGUGUCUUGGCUAAGGUGUCUUGGCUAAUGUGUCUUGGCGAAAGUGUCUUGGCUAAGGUGUCUUGGCUAAUGUGUCUUGGCUAAUGUGUCUCGGCUAAGGUGUCUUGGCUAUUGUGUCUUGGCUAAGGUGUCUUGGCUAAGGUGUCUUGGCUAAGGUGUCUUGGCUAAUGUGUCUUGGCUAAGGUGUCCUGGCUAAGGUGUCUUGGCUAAGGUGUCUUGGCUAAUGUGUCUCGGCUAAAGUGUCUCGGCUAAGGUGUCUUGGCUAAGGUGUCUUGGCUAAUGUGUCUUGGCUAAGGUGUCUCGGCUAAGGUGUCUUGGCUAUUGUGUCUUGGCUAAGGUGUCUUGGCUAAGGUGUCUUGGCUAAGGUGUCUUGGCUAAUGUGUCUCGGCUAAAGUGUCUUGGCUAAGGUGUCUCGGCUAAAGUGUCUUGGCUAAGGUGUCUUGGCUAAGGUGUCUUGGCUAAUGUGUCUUGGCUAAGGUGUCUCGGCUAAGGUGUCUUGGCUAAGGUGUCUUGGCUAAGGUGUCUUGGCUAAGGUGUCUUGGCUAAGGUGUCUUGGCUAAGGUGUCUUGGCUAAUGUGUCUCGGCUAAUGUGUCUCGGCUAAAGUGUCUUGGCUAAGGUGUCUCGGCUAAAGUGUCUUGGCUAAGGUGUCUUGGCUAAGGUGUCUCGGCUAAUGUGUCUUGGCUAAGGUGUCUUGGCUAAGGUGUCUUGGCUAAGGUGUCUUGGCUAAUGUGUCUCGGCUAAAGUGUCUUGGCUAAGGUGUCUCGGCUAAGGUGUCUUGGCUAAUGUGUCUCGGCUAAAGUGUCUUGGCUAAGGUGUCUUGGCUAAGGUGUCUUGGCUAAUGUGUCUCGGCUAAAGUGUCUCGGCUAAGGUGUCUUGGCUAUUGUGUCUUGGCUAAGGUGUCUUGGCUAAGGUGUCUUGGCUAAUGUGUCUUGGCUAAGGUGUCUUGGCUAAUGUGUCUUGGCUAAGGUGUCUUGGCUGAUGUGUCUUGGCUAAUGUGUCUUGGCUAAGGUGUCUUGGCUAAUGUGUCUCGGCUAAUGUGUCUUGGCUAAGGUGUCUUGGCUAUUGUGUCUUGGCUAAGGUGUCUUGGCUAAUGUGUCUCGGCUAAUGUGUCUUGGCUAAGGUGUCUUGGUCAAGGUGUCUUGGCUAAUGUGUCUUGGCUAAUGUGUCUUGGCUAAGGUGUCUUGGCUAAGGUGUCUUGGCUAAUGUGUCUUGGCUAAAGUGUCUUGGCUAAUGUGUCUUGGCUAAGUUGUCUUGGCUAAGGUGUCUUGGCUAAGGUGUCUUGGCUAAGGUGUCUUGGCUAAUGUGUCUUGGCUAAGGUGUCUUGGCUAAAGUGUCUUGGCUAAGGUGUCUUGGCUAAUGUGUCUUGGCUAAGGUGUCUUGGCUAAGGUGUCUUGGCUAAGGUGUCUUGGCUAAUGUGUCUCAGCUAAGGUGUCUUGGCUGAUGUGUCUUGGCUAAGGUGUCUUGGCUAAGGUGUCUUGGCUAAGGUGUCUUGGCUAAUGUGUCUCGGCUAAAGUGUCUUGGCUAAGGUGUCUUGGCUAAGGUGUCUUGGCUAAGGUGUCUUGGCUAAGGUGUCUCGUCUAAGGUGUCUUGGCUAAGGUGUCUUGGCUAAGGUGUCUUGGCUAAUGUGUCUUGGCUAAGGUGUCUUGGCUAAUGUGUCUUGGCUAAGGUGUCUUGGCUAAGGUGUCUUGGCUAAUGUGUCUCGUCUAAGGUGUCUUGGCUAAGGUGUCUUGGCUAAGGUGUCUUGGCUAAGGUGUCUUGGCUAAUGUGUCUUGGCUAAGGUGUCUUGGCUAAGGUGUCUUGGCUAAGGUGUCUUGGCUAAGGUGUCUUGGCUAAGGUGUCUUGGCUAAUGUGUCUUGGCUAAGGUGUCUUGGCUAAGGUGUCUUGGCUAAUGUGUCUCGUCUAAGGUGUCUUGGCUAAGGUGUCUUGGCUAAGGUGUCUUGGCUAAUGUGUCUCGUCUAAGGUGUCUUGGCUAAGGUGUCUUGGCUAAGGUGUCUUGGCUAAGGUGUCUUGGCUAAUGUGUCUCGUCUAAGGUGUCUUGGCUAAGGUGUCUUGGCUAAGGUGUCUUGGCUAUGGUGUCUUGGCUAAGGUGUCUUGGCUAAGGUGUCUUGGCUAAUGUGUCUCGUCUAAGGUGUCUUGGCUAAGGUGUCUUGGCUAAGGUGUCUUGGCUAAGGUGUCUUGGCUAAGGUGUCUUGGCUAAUGUGUCUCGUCUAAGGUGUCUUGGCUAAGGUGUCUUGGCUAAGGUGUCUUGGCUAAUGUGUCUUGGCUAAGGUGUCUCGGCUAAAGUGUCUUGGCUAAUGUGUCUCGGCUAAAGUGUCUUGGCUAAGGUGUCUUGGCUAUGGUGUCUUGGCUAAGGUGUCUUGGCUAAGGUGUCUUGGCUAAUGUGUCUCGUCUAAGGUGUCUUGGCUAAGGUGUCUUGGCUAAGGUGUCUUGGCUAAGGUGUCUUGGCUAAUGUGUCUCGUCUAAGGUGUCUUGGCUAAGGUGUCUUGGCUAAGGUGUCUUGGCUAAGGUGUCUUGGCUAAUGUGUCUUGGCUAAGGUGUCUUGGCUAAGGUGUCUUGGCUAAGGUGUCUUGGCUAAUGUGUCUCGGCUAAAGUGUGUUGGCUAAGGUGUCUUGGCUAAUGUGUCUCGUCUAAGGUGUCUUGGCUAAGGUGUCUUGGCUAAGGUGUCUUGGCUAAUGUGUCUCGGCUAAGGUGUCUUGGCUAAGGUGUCUUGGCUAAUGUGUCUUGGCUAAGGUGUCUUGGCUAAGGUGUCUUGGCUAAGGUGUCUUGGCUAAUGUGUCUUGGCUAAAGUGUCUUGGCUAAGGUGUCUUGGCUAAGGUGUCUUGGCUAAGGUGUCUUGGCUAAGGUGUCUCGUCUAAGGUGUCUUGGCUAAGGUGUCUUGGCUAAGGUGUCUUGGCUAAUGUGUCUUGGCUAAGGUGUCUUGGCUAAUGUGUCUUGGCUAAGGUGUCUUGGCUAAUGUGUCUUGGCUAAAGUGUCUUGGCUAAGGUGUCUUGGCUAAUGUGUCUCGGCUAAAGUGUCUUGGCUAAGGUGUCUUGGCUAAGGUGUCUCGUCUAAGGUGUCUUGGCUAAGGUGUCUUGGCUAAGGUGUCUUGGCUAAGGUGUCUUGGCUAAUGUGUCUCGUCUAAGGUGUCUUGGCUAAGGUGUCUUGGCUAAGGUGUCUUGGCUAAGGUGUCUUGGCUAAUGUGUCUUGGCUAAGGUGUCUUGGCUAAGGUGUCUUGGCUAAGGUGUCUUGGCUAAUGUGUCUCGGCUAAAGUGUCUUGGCUAAGGUGUCUUGGCUAAUGUGUCUCGUCUAAGGUGUCUUGGCUAAGGUGUCUUGGCUAAGGUGUCUUGGCUAUGGUGUCUUGGCUAAGGUGUCUUGGCUAAGGUGUCUUGGCUAAUGUGUCUCGUCUAAGGUGUCUUGGCUAAGGUGUCUUGGCUAAGGUGUCUUGGCUAAGGUGUCUUGGCUAAUGUGUCUCGUCUAAGGUGUCUUGGCUAAGGUGUCUUGGCUAAGGUGUCUUGGCUAAGGUGUCUUGGCUAAGGUGUCUUGGCUAAUGUGUCUUGGCUAAGGUGUCUCGGCUAAAGUGUCUUGGCUAAUGUGUCUCGGCUAAAGUGUCUUGGCUAAGGUGUCUUGGCUAUGGUGUCUUGGCUAAGGUGUCUUGGCUAAGGUGUCUUGGCUAAUGUGUCUCGUCUAAGGUGUCUUGGCUAAGGUGUCUUGGCUAAGGUGUCUUGGCUGAGGUGUCUCGUCUAAGGUGUCUUGGCUAAGGUGUCUUGGCUAAGGUGUCUUGGCUAAUGUGUCUCGGCUAAAGUGUCUUGGCUAAGGUGUCUUGGCUAAUGUGUCUCGUCUAAGGUGUCUUGGCUAAUGUGUCUCGGCUAAAGUGUCUUGGCUAAGGUGUCUCGGCUAAAGUGUCUUGGCUAAGGUGUCUUGGCUAUGGUGUCUUGGCUAAGGUGUCUUGGCUAAGGUGUCUUGGCUAAUGUGUCUCGUCUAAGGUGUCUUGGCUAAGGUGUCUUGGCUAAGGUGUCUUGGCUAAUGUGUCUUGGCUAAGGUGUCUCGGCUAAAGUGUCUUGGCUAAUGUGUCUCGGCUAAAGUGUCUUGGCUAAGGUAUCUUGGCUAUGGUGUCUUGGCUAAGGUGUCUUGGCUAAGGUGUCUUGGCUAAUGUGUCUCGUCUAAGGUGUCUUGGCUAAGGUGUCUUGGCUAAGGUGUCUUGGCUAAGGUGUCUCGUCUAAGGUGUCUUGGCUAAGGUGUCUUGGCUAAGGUGUCUUGGCUAAUGUGUCUCGGCUAAGGUGUCUUGGCUAAGGUGUCUUGGCUAAUGUGUCUUGGCUAAAGUGUCUUGGCUAAGGUGUCUUGGCUAAGGUGUCUUGGCUAAGGUGUCUUGGCUAAGGUGUCUCGUCUAAGGUGUCUUGGCUAAGGUGUCUCGGCUAAGGUGUCUUGGCUAAUGUGUCUUGGCUAAGGUGUCUUGGCUAAUGUGUCUUGGCUAAGGUGUCUUGGCUAAUGUGUCUUGGCUUAAGUGUCUUGGCUAAGGUGUCUUGGCUAAUGUGUCUCGGCUAAAGUGUCUUGGCUAAGGUGUCUUGGCUAAGGUGUCUCGGCUAAAGUGUCUUGGCUAAUGUGUCUCGGCUAAGGUGUCUUGGCUAAGGUGUCUUGGCUAAUGUGUCUUGGCUAAGGUGUCUUGGCUAAGGUGUCUUGGCUAAGGUGUCUUGGCUAAGGUGUCUUGGCUAAGGUGUCUUGGCUAAUGUGUCUUGGCUAAGGUGUCUUGGCUAAGGUGUCUUGGCUAAUGUGUCUCGUCUAAGGUGUCUUGGCUAAGGUGUCUUGGCUAAGGUGUCUUGGCUAAGGUGUCUUGGCUAAGGUGUCUUGGCUAAUGUGUCUCGUCUAAGGUGUCUUGGCUAAGGUGUCUUGGCUAAGGUGUCUUGGCUAAGGUGUCUUGGCUAAGGUGUCUUGGCUAAGGUGUCUUGGCUAAGGUGUCUUGGCUAAGGUGUCUUGGCUAAUGUGUCUCGUCUAAGGUGUCUUGGCUAAGGUGUCUUGGCUAAGGUGUCUUGGCUAAGGUGUCUUGGCUAAUGUGUCUUGGCUAAGGUGUCUCGGCUAAAGUGUCUUGGCUAAUGUGUCUCGGCUAAAGUGUCUUGGCUAAGGUGUCUUGGCUAAUGUGUCUUGGCUAAGGUGUCUUGGCUAAGGUGUCUUGGCUAAUGUGUCUCGUCUAAGGUGUCUUGGCUAAGGUGUCUUGGCUAAGGUGUCUUGGCUAAGGUGUCUUGGCUAAUGUGUCUUGGCUAAGGUGUCUUGGCUAAGGUGUCUUGGCUAAGGUGUCUUGGCUAAGGUGUCUUGGCUAAGGUGUCUUGGCUAAUGUGUCUUGGCUAAGGUGUCUUGGCUAAGGUGUCUUGGCUAAUGUGUCUCGUCUAAGGUGUCUUGGCUAAGGUGUCUUGGCUAAGGUGUCUUGGCUAAUGUGUCUCGUCUAAGGUGUCUUGGCUAAGGUGUCUUGGCUAAGGUGUCUUGGCUAAUGUGUCUCGUCUAAGGUGUCUUGGCUAAGGUGUCUUGGCUAAGGUGUCUUGGCUAAUGUGUCUCGUCUAAGGUGUCUUGGCUAAGGUGUCUUGGCUAAGGUGUCUUGGCUAAGGUGUCUUGGCUAAUGUGUCUUGGCUAAGGUGUCUUGGCUAAGGUGUCUUGGCUAAGGUGUCUUGGCUAAUGUGUCUCGGCUAAAGUGUCUUGGCUAAGGUGUCUUGGCUAAGGUGUCUUGGCUAAGGUGUCUUGGCUAAGGUGUCUCGUCUAAGGUGUCUUGGCUAAGGUGUCUUGGCUAAGGUGUCUUGGCUAAUGUGUCUUGGCUAAGGUGUCUUGGCUAAUGUGUCUUGGCUAAGGUGUCUUGGCUAAUGUGUCUUGGCUAAAGUGUCUUGGCUAAGGUGUCUUGGCUAAUGUGUCUCGGCUAAAGUGUCUUGGCUAAGGUGUCUUGGCUAAGGUGUCUCGGCUAAAGUGUCUUGGCUAAUGUGUCUCGGCUAAGGUGUCUUGGCUAAUGUGUCUCGGCUAAAGUGUCUUGGCUAAUGUGUCUCGGCUAAAGUGUCUUGGCUAAGGUGUCUUGGCUAUGGUGUCUUGGCUAAGGUGUCUUGGCUAAGGUGUCUUGGCUAAUGUGUCUCGUCUAAGGUGUCUUGGCUAAGGUGUCUUGGCUAAGGUGUCUUGGCUAAGGUGUCUUGGCUAAUGUGUCUCGUCUAAGGUGUCUUGGCUAAGGUGUCUUGGCUAAGGUGUCUUGGCUAAGGUGUCUUGGCUAAUGUGUCUUGGCUAAGGUGUCUUGGCUAAGGUGUCUCGGCUAAAGUGUCUUGGCUAAGGUGUCUUGGCUAAGGUGUCUUGGCUAAGGUGUCUUGGCUAAGGUGUCUCGUCUAAGGUGUCUUGGCUAAGGUGUCUUGGCUAAGGUGUCUUGGCUAAUGUGUCUUGGCUAAGGUGUCUCGGCUAAAGUGUCUUGGCUAAUGUGUCUCGGCUAAAGUGUCUUGGCUAAGGUGUCUUGGCUAAUGUGUCUCGUCUAAGGUGUCUUGGCUAAGGUGUCUUGGCUAAGGUGUCUUGGCUAAGGUGUCUUGGCUAAUGUGUCUUGGCUAAGGUGUCUCGGCUAAAGUGUCUUGGCUAAUGUGUCUCGGCUAAAGUGUCUUGGCUAAGGUGUCUUGGCUAUGGUGUCUUGGCUAAGGUGUCUUGGCUAAGGUGUCUUGGCUAAUGUGUCUCGUCUAAGGUGUCUUGGCUAAGGUGUCUUGGCUAAGGUGUCUUGGCUAAGGUGUCUUGGCUAAGGUGUCUUGGCUAAUGUGUCUCGUCUAAGGUGUCUUGGCUAAGGUGUCUUGGCUAAGGUGUCUUGGCUAAGGUGUCUUGGCUAAUGUGUCUUGGCUAAGGUGUCUUGGCUAAGGUGUCUUGGCUAAGGUGUCUUGGCUAAGGUGUCUUGGCUAAUGUGUCUCGUCUAAGGUGUCUUGGCUAAGGUGUCUUGGCUAAGGUGUCUUGGCUAAGGUGUCUUGGCUAAUGUGUCUUGGCUAAGGUGUCUCGGCUAAAGUGUCUUGGCUAAUGUGUCUCGGCUAAAGUGUCUUGGCUAAGGUGUCUUGGCUAAGGUGUCUUGGCUAAGGUGUCUUGGCUAAGGUGUCUUGGCUAAUGUGUCUUGGCUAAGGUGUCUUGGCUAAGGUGUCUUGGCUAAUGUGUCUUGGCUAAGGUGUCUUGGCUAAUGUGUCUUGGCU